rnacentral:rRNA from 1 species
AUACUGGAUAUGACCUCAGCAUGCAUGUGCUGGGGUGGAAAGCUUUUGUGGUGCAGGAUGGGCCCGCGGCCUAUCAGCUUGUUGGUGGGGUAAUGGCCUACCAAGGCGACGACGGGUAGCCGACCUGAGAGGGUGACCGGCCACACUGGGACUGAGACACGGCCCAGACUCCUACGGGAGGCAGCAGUGGGGAAUAUUGCACAAUGGGCGGAAGCCUGAUGCAGCGACGCCGCGUGAGGGAUGAAGGCCUUCGGGUUGUAAACCUCUUUCAGCAGGGACGAAGCGUGAGUGACGGUACCUGCAGAAGAAGCACCGGCUAACUACGUGCCAGCAGCCGCGGUAAUACGUAGGGUGCGAGCGUUGUCCGGAAUUACUGGGCGUAAAGAGUUCGUAGGCGGUUUGUCGCGUCGUUUGUGAAAACCCGGGGCUCAACUUCGGGCUUGCAGGCGAUACGGGCAGACUUGAGUGUUUCAGGGGAGACUGGAAUUCCUGGUGUAGCGGUGAAAUGCGCAGAUAUCAGGAGGAACACCGGUGGCGAAGGCGGGUCUCUGGGAAACAACUGACGCUGAGGAACGAAAGCGUGGGUAGCAAACAGGAUUAGAUACCCUGGUAGUCCACGCCGUAAACGGUGGGCGCU